UAAGACCUUGCGCCGAUGGAUGAGCCGAAGUCGGAUUAGCUAGUUGGUAGGGUAACGGCCUACCAAGGCGACGAUCCGUAGCUGGUCUGAGAGGACGACCAGCCACACUGGGACUGAGACACGGCCCAGACUCCUACGGGAGGCGGCAGUGGGGAAUAUUGGACAAUGGGGGCAACCCUGAUCCAGCGACGCCGCGUGUGUGAAGAAGGCCUGCGGGUUGUAAAGCACUUUUAGUGGGGAUGAAAAGCUCAGGGCUAAUACCUCUGGGUCUUGACCUAACCCACAGAAAAAGCACCGGCUAACUCUGUGCCAGCAGCCGCGGUAAUACAGAGGGUGCGAGCGUUAAUCGGAAUUACUGGGCGUAAAGCGCGCGUAGACGGUUUUGUAAGUCAGAUGUGAAAUCCCUGGGCUCAACCUGGGAACU
rnacentral:rRNA from 1 species